UGCCAGCCGCCGCGGUAAUACGGAUGGUGCGAACGUUGUUCGGAAUCACUGGGCUUAAAGCGCACGUAGGCGGUUCGGCAAGUCCGGUAUGAAAUCCCCCGGCUCAACCGGGGAACGGUGCUGGAUACUGCCGGACUGGAGUGAGGUAGGGGGGUGUGGAACUCCGGGUGGAGCGGUGAAAUGCGUAGAUAUCCGGAGGAACGCCGGUGGUGAAAACGAUGCCCUGGGCCUCUACUGACGCUGAGGUGCGAAAGCUGGGGGAGCAAACGGGAUUAGAUA
rnacentral:rRNA from 1 species